GGGGAUUUAGCUCAGCGGCAUAAGCGCCUGCCUUGCAAGCAGGCAGUCGUGAGUUAAAUUCCUG
rnacentral:tRNA from 1 species